UGAGGGAAAGUUGCAAAGAACUUUGAAGAGAGAGUUCAAGAGUACGUGAAACUGCUCAGGGGCAAACGGGUGGGCCCUCGAAGUCCGCGCGGAGAGGGAUUCAGUCGCGAGCCGCGAGGGGUGCCGCAGUCGAAAAGUCCGGACUCCGGAGGGAGUCGCGGCGAUGGCACCGUCCUCCGGACGCGCGACGCAAUUUCCUCUCCCGAAGGACGCCGCAGCCGGUGGGGCGUCGGCAGUGAGGACUCGGCCGGUAGGUGGCGUGGAUCCGGUCUCGCACCGCGGUCCCGUGUCUGCCCGGCCGGACGUCCGUGCGCGACGCCCGACCGAGGGAACCGUCGAUCAGUUUCGACGUGCCGUGGCCUCGCCAAGCGAGCGGGACCCCGAGUCAGGGAAGGCGUUCGGCCUCCGCGUCACCGUGCGGUGUCCGGAGUCGUUCGCGCCCCGUUGGACCGGGUCGACCCGCGGCGUGUGCACUACGGCUUGCGGCGAGUAGGUCGGUAACCCACCCGACCCGUCUUGAAACACGGACCAAGGAGUCUAACAUGUGCGCGAGUCAGUGGGACUCGAACAAGCCCACGGGCAGAACGAAAGUGAAAAUUGUCGGGAUCCCCGUCCCUCGGGGCGGGGCGCACCGACGGCCUGGCGCGACCCACUUACGUGGAAGGGGCCGGUGCCGGAGCGUACACGUUGGGACCCGAAAGAUGGUGAACUAUGCCCGGGCAGGUCGAAGCUAGAGGAAACUCUGGUGGAGGACCGCAGCGGUUCUGACGUGCAAAUCGAUCGUCGAACCUAGG
rnacentral:rRNA from 1 species